rnacentral:rRNA from 1 species
UCCGUAGGUGAAACCUGCGGAGGAUCAUUAAAAGAAAUUGGUUAUACAUUUCAUGUAUCAACUGUUUAAACCCAUUCUGUGUACCUUGCCUGUUGCUUCCAUGGAGCCUGACUUUGGUCACUCUUGUGAUGUAAAUCCCAAGGGAGUCCCCAUGGAAGGUCAUCAAUAAAACUCAUGUAUCCAAUUUCUUCUGUCUGAACUGUUUAUAACAAAUGUUAAAACUUUCAACAACGGAUCUCUUGGUUCUCGCAUCGAUGAAGAACGCAGCGAAAUGCGAUAAGUAGUGUGAAUUGCAGAAUUCAGUGAAUCAUCGAAUCUUUGAACGCACAUUGCGCCUCCUGGUAUUCCGGGAGGCAUGCCUGUUCGAGCGUCAUUAAAUACCUCUCAAGCACCAUUGCUUGGUCAUGGAAGAUGAGUAUGCUUGCAUUCUCCCUUCUGAAAUUCAAAGGCGGAUCAUCUCAUAUUCCCUGGCGUAGUAAGUGUUUAUCUUUCGCUUGGAGUGUGUGACAGUCUUGCCAUCGACCCCCAUUAUUUCAAGGUUGACCUCGGAUCAGGUAGGGAUACCCGCUGAACUUAAGCAUAUC